UAGGGAAUCUUCCGCAAUGGACGCAAGUCUGACGGAGCAACGCCGCGUGAGUGAAGAAGGAUUUCGGUUCGUAAAACUCUGUUGUUAGAGAAGUACAGCGCAUAGAGCAACUGGUAUGCGUGUGACGGUAUCUAACCAGAAAGCCACGGAUAACUACGUGCCAGCAGCCGCGGUAAUACGUAGGUGGCAAGCGUUGACCGGAUUUAUUGGGCGUAAAGCGAGCGCAGGCGGUCAAUUAAGUCUGAUGUGAAAGCCCCCGGCCCCACCGGGGAAGGUCAUUUGAAACUUGUUGACUUUAGUGCAGAAAGGGGGAGGGGAAUUCCAUGUGUAGCGGUGAAAUGCGUAGGUAUAUGGAGGGACACCAGUGGCGAAGGCGACUCUCUGGUCUGUAACUGACGCUGAGGCUCGAAAGCGUGGGUAGCAAACAGG
rnacentral:rRNA from 1 species